rnacentral:tRNA from 3 species
CGGGGCAUAGCUCAGUUGGAUAGAGCAACGGCCUUCUAAGCCGUGGGUCGCAGGUUCAAGUCCUGCUGUCCUGACCA